rnacentral:rRNA from 1 species
GUUGACCUCGGAUCAGGUAGGGAUACCCGCUGAACUUAAGCAUAUCU